rnacentral:lncRNA from 1 species
GGGCAGGGCAAAGAUAAGAGCGCGGAAAGCUGGGUAGUGGUUGAUGUUGAUGGAGGCGGGGUACCGAGAGGGAGGCAUUUGUGACCGCAGCUGGUUUGGGGGGCUGGCUCUUAAGAUGACCCUUGCUCAGUUGAAAGCAGCCUGGAAGAACGUAGCCUUCGGAAGCAGAUCUUAGAGUUGGAAUCCCUCUUGGAUUUUGAAAAAUGGAGCUUCCUUUUUCCUGUUCACCCAACCAUGUGUCCAGUGGCUCAAGUUUCGUGGAGUGAGACCACAUAUCCUUUGGAAGGCUGAUCAGCACUGCACCAGAAACCACUGCAUAAAAUCUGUCAGGAACUCCUGAAGCCCAUUCCCCAUUCCGA